UUAUUGUUGUAAUAGUAUUUGCUUUAGAAUUCUUUUCGAAUUUCACAAAUGUUAGUUCAAAUUAUGUUAAUACCCAAUCUGAUUGCUUUUUUUUUUUUGUUGUUGUUUCGGACGAUGAAAAAAGUAACUUUUUGGUUCUCAUCUCUUGUCUUUCGUCCAUUUCCAUCUUUGGACCUAUUAGUGGAGGGCAUAAGUAUUCACAAGCUAUUGCUCUGUACACACAAGUGAUUAAGUUGAACAGUGAGAAUGUGGUGUACUGGGCUAAUUGUGUGUUUUCUCACAUCAAAUUGAAGGAAUAUUGCAGCGUAAUAGAGGCGAAGCUAAAGCUAUUGAAAUUGUCCCCAGAUAUUCAAAGGGCUAUUAUAGGCGAGAGGCUGCAUAUUUGGCAAUGGGAAGUUCAAAGAUGCAUUCAAGAAUUUUCAAUAGGUUGGUAUUGUUUUUUGAACAUCUUAAGUUGUAUCAGCUGCAUAUUGCUGGUGAUAAUCAAAUUGUUCUUAUUUUUUAUUUUAAAGCUUUACUACAAAAUAUAUCUUGAGAAGAACAUUGCUUAUGUAACUAGCUACCACAUUUAGAAGAGAAGAUAAUGUCAUACCAGUGACAUUGUUCAUGCAUUAUGUUAUUUGUGACCUUUAAGAUUCCUUGUCAAUUCUAUGCUCCAGCAACUUCCAUAUGUACUAGAUAAGUUAUCUGGAAAUACUAAUAACAUUUUGACAUCAAAUUUAAGUUCAAUGACAUUUAGUUGUAGCAGAUUAAGGUAGAAGAUGACCAAUCCCACCCUUGAACAUCUGAAGAAUUUUUUAGGCAGAAUUGGCAUAAUUAUUAUUCUUUUCUGUUUUCAUUUGCAGAAAGAAGUCACAUGGUUGAUUCUGGUUAGUUGUCAGAGCAGGUCAUAUUUGUGGAACUUUUAGUUGCAUUAGUUGCAAAUCAGUAAACUUGAAUGAAAAAACUUUUUUUUGUCCUUGACUCAACCUACAAGCCCCUAAGUCACAUAGAAUAUUAAGAAAGUGAACUUGCAUUUGUUUCUAAUUUUUCUACUAUUAUAGAAACAUGAGUUUCAGAGUAGAUCGUUGUCGACAUGCGUGCUUCAUUAAGCAGAGGGCAAUUUUGACAUUUUACCUUCUAGGUGUUGUAGCAUUAACAUACGUGUUCAACCUACUCUCAUUCCACGACACAACAUCGCUCUAGAAACAUCCUUCCUUUCAUCUUUUUUUUACACUUGAAAAAACAAUUUCUUAGUUUCAUCCGAGCCUUUAAAUAGAAAUCAUCAACUCUAUUCAAUUUCUACAUGGGUGGGUUCUCUUCAAACUCAAUUGUAUAGUGUUGUAGUCGUGCUCUCUUUGACAUACUCUGAGACUCUGGCUUUACAAGGGUUCUAAAUUGGAGAAGUCAGUAUGUUGUUACUAAGCAGAGAAGCCUAAUUAUCAGAUUCCAUGGAUGUGAAUAUGCAAAAAUAUGUCUUAGAAUUCUGAUAUUCCAACUUAAAGUAAAUUAACAUCGUCUUCAUUGGACCAACCAUAUAUUCACCCAUGGACACGAUGUUACAACUAAUUGGAUCUACAAUUUAGCCGACGCUCAUGUUUGUUCAGUUGAUGCUAACAUCCAUCAGUUGGCGACCACUGAUAACUUUUUAUAUUUUUCCAUUUUAGUAAUUACAGUAACAAAUUUAGGUAGGUCUCUUCCAUUGUUGGUUCUCACUGUGCUUUCAUAAUGUCUAUCAGUUAAUACAAAAUCUGGCCCCUUGGGAACUUUGGCUUUGACGUCGACCAUUUAAAAAUAUGGUGCUUGUGAUAUAGAGGCGCUGCCUGCAGCUGUUAUAAGAAGGGGAAUGUCCAGAGGAUGCAUUGAUGCAUUUCGGGAUGAAAAUUGUGAUGGAACAUUGCCCUUUGCAGCAGACAUCCUUCUCAUAUGGUCUAAUCAGGAUAGCCUCUGAAGACCAGAUGUGUAGAUAAAGCCAAAGAAACACUAAUUGGUUACCUUCCUUCUGCAUCAGAGAGAAGCUUUGAGGAAUACUAUAUGUAUACAUAUGCUCCCGAUGGCAGAAUAUAUAACACUAAAUUAAAGACAUACUGAUGGGCAGAGAAGGACUGAGGACCAAAGUCUAUUACUACUGGGAGGAGGUCACAUAUGUUAAAUGUAUCAGCAAAAGUAAUGUACAUCUGAGGAUAGUUGUGCUUUUUCCUGGAUAUCUUUUUUGAUGUCAACGUUCAAUGUGUUUGAAUGCAGUGUAAAAAUUGAUCUCUCUUUGGCACAGUAGUACAUAUUUUGGUGUUUCAAAAAUCACAGCUAUUUUCUUAUGUAAUUUAUUGAUGUCUAUGACAAUUUUAUUUGGUAAAACUAAAAUGUAACAAUAUAUUUCAGAAACCCAUGCUUUGUCGUCCAUUGUCCAUACACCCAUGCUUCGUCGUCCGUCGUCCAUACACCCAUGCUUCAUCGUCCGUCGUCCAUAAAAAUUAAAAAAAGUGGGCCCCAUACUAAACACCAAGCAAUAUAAAAAAAAAAUAAAAAAAUAAAGUGGAACCCACCAUCUCCAAACUCACGAAAAAGAAGUGGACCCCAAAUUAACAAAAUCAAGCAAUGUAUAUAAAAAAAAGUGAACCCCAUAUUUAAAAAAAUAAACAAUGUAAAAAAAAAAGUGCAUCCCAUAUUAAAAAAUCAAACAAUAUUCAUGUAAUUUCUAAAGUAUCCCAUUAAGUCAAUAAUGAUGGAUUCAUUGUCACAUGCAUAUCAACCCAUUAGUGGGAGCAAAUGAAAUUAUUGUACAGCAAAAAACAUGGAUCUCAUAUUAUUGCUUUUCUUCAAAAGGUUAAGUAGUCAAACCAUAUAAUUUUCUUUCUUUUUUUAUAUUAGCCUGAGAUCUAAUCUAAAUAUUGAAC